CCCCAUGCUGAUCUCUUGAUAGUGAAGGAGUUCUCAUGGGAUCUGAUGGUUUAAAAGUGUAUUCCCCCCUCACUCUCUCUCUCUCUCUCCUGCUCUGCCGUGGUAAGAAGUGCUUGUUUCCCCUUCACCUUCUGCCAUGAUUGUAAGUUUCCCGAGGCCUCCAAGUCAUGCUUCCUGUUAAGCCUGCAGAACUUCAGUGGUUCCUCUGCCUUGUUCCUCCUUCCAGUGGAUUGCAUAUCCAGAUAAUGUUGAACUUGGGAGCCUUCAUGCUUUGAUCAGUAAAAUCUUGAAUGAAUGGAAGUUGACAUAAGCUAAAGGAAUCAUCUUACACCAUGACAAAAUGGAGUAAGGCUGGAUCCCCAAAUCUCCAAUGUAACAAGCCUGGAACACUUAUGUGUAGAAUGCUCAGACUAUUAGUUGAGAGAAAAAUAAAAUUCCAUUUUGUUCAAGCCAUUGAUAUGUGGACUCUGCCCAGUAGCCAACUGUGUAUCCUAAUGAAUCCAGGGUGUCUUUACUUUAGUCCUCUCACCAGAGAGAGGUACAAAGCUGAGCUAGCUCCUUGCUUUAGCAACUUAUUGGGCUAAGUGAGAGGAGUCAACCAGGUGCAGCUCAUGAGCCACCAUGAAAUGUACUUGCUUAGAGACUGCUGUCUUCUAAUCAUUUUCUGAACUGUGCUCUAGGUUUUUAGAAUGU
rnacentral:lncRNA from 1 species